rnacentral:misc_RNA from 1 species
AUUCAGUUUAUGGUCCUCGGUCACGCAUCGUCGCUCCCGGUUCUAGAACUUGCCCGCACAUCGCCGCUCCCAACCCUAGCAGGAGCUCUCGGCCCCCCGCCCCCGCCUCCAUCCUCCCAGAAAAAUUCCUCCCACCGCGCCCGCGACAGCGACGACGACGGCGACGAGCACGGGGCCCCUCCACCGCCUCCGCCUCCGCCUCGCCGCGUGCGGCCUCCGCGCCGCCCCGACGUCGUCCCCUCCGCCCUCCCCCUCGGCCCUCGACGCGCCGCCGCCCGCCCUCCGCCGCCACCGCCGCGGCGGGCUCGGUCUCCUCUGGAAGCUCCCCUCCGCCC